rnacentral:rRNA from 1 species
UACAGAGGGUGCGAGCGUUGUCCGGAAUCACUGGGCGUAAAGGGUGCGUAGGUGGCUUGGUAAGCGUGUGGUGAAAGUCCGGGGCUCAACCCCGGAUCUGCCGUGCGAACUGCCGAGCUCGAGCAUUGUAGAGGCAGGUGGAAUUCCGGGUGUAGCGGUGGAAUGCGUAGAGAUCCGGAAGAACACCAGUGGCGAAGGCGGCCUGCUGGGCAAUUGCUGACACUGAGGCACGACAGCGUGGGGAGCAAACAGG